UACAGAGGUCCCAAGCGUUGUUCGGAUUCACUGGGCGUAAAGGGUGCGUAGGUGGCCGGGUAAGUCUGGUGUGAAAUCUCCGAGCUCAACUCGGAAACUGCAUUGGAUACUAUCCGGCUAGAGGAUCGGAGGGGAGACUGGAAUACUUGGUGUAGCAGUGAAAUGCGUAGAUAUCAAGUGGAACACCAGUGGCGAAGGCGAGUCUCUGGACGAUUCCUGACGCUGAGGCCCGAAAGCUAGGGGAGCAAACAGG
rnacentral:rRNA from 1 species